rnacentral:lncRNA from 1 species
CCAACCCGGGACUGAAACCUCCAAAACUGAGUUGCAGUCAACUUUUCCUCUUUCUCUGCUGAUUAUUUCAGGUCUCUUGUACUGACUGCAGUUGGGAGUGCUGUUUCCGGUUGUGUGGUUCAUGCCCCAGUGAUUCUGUGUACGUUCUCUCUUCGCUCUGAUAAUGUGCAUGUUCGUGAUGUGACAGCUGGACCGCCACAAGUGGCACCUGAAGAGCGACCUGAGUAUUGAGGGAUCCAGUGAAGGACACUGCAGAGAAGAAGGAGGCCUCAACGAAAAGGUAUUCUCCCUUCUCUUCUGCUCCACCUACUUAUGGUUACAGAUAUGUUUAUAGACCUACCACUAUCCCUGAACAGCUUGAAGCUGGGUCUCCACUGAGGAAACCAGAUUGGGACCUCAACAAUGAAGCAACAGAGAAAACUCCAGGAUGUGUC